GGAAGCAUAGCUAAAUUGGUGUGGGCAGAUGUCUCAUAAACAUAAGGUUGUGAGCUCGAGUCUCUCUGCUUCCA
rnacentral:tRNA from 1 species